rnacentral:rRNA from 1 species
CCUACGGGAGGCAGCAGUGGGGAAUAUUGCACAAUGGGGGGAACCCUGAUGCAGCAACGCCGCGUGGGUGAAGAAGUACUUAGGUAUGUAAAGCUCUUUUAGCAGGGAAGAAAAUGACGGUACCUGACCAAGAAGCUCCGGCUAACUACGUGCCAGCAGCCGCGGUACUACGGAGGGGGCAAGCGUUAUCCGGAUUUACUGGGCGUAAAGGGAGCGUAGUCGGCAAGGCAAGUCUGUAGUGAAAUCCCGUGGCCCAACCACAGAACUGCAUUGGAAACUGUAUGGCUGGAGUGCAGGAGGGGUAGGCGGAAUUCCUGGUGUAGCGGUGAAAUGCGUAGAUAUUAGGAGGAACACCGGUGGCGAAGGCAGCUUACUGGACUGUAACUGACGUUGAGGCUCGAAGGCGUGGGGAGCAAACAGGAUUAGAUACCCGGGUAGUC